rnacentral:rRNA from 1 species
GUAGGUGGCAAGCGUUGUCCGGAAUUAUUGGGCGUAAAGCGCGCGCAGGCGGUUCUUUAAGUCUGAUGUGAAAGCCCACGGCUCAACCGUGGAGGGUCAUUGGAAACUGGAGAACUUGAGUACAGAAGAGGAAAGCGGAAUUCCACGUGUAGCGGUGAAAUGCGUAGAGAUGUGGAGGAACACCAGUGGCGAAGGCGGCUUUCUGGUCUGUAACUGACGCUGAGGCGCGAAAGCGUGGGGAGCAAACAGGGAUUAGAUACCCUGGUAGUCCACGCCGUAAACGAUGAGUGCUAAGUGUUAGGGGGUUUCCGCCCUUUAGUGCUGCAGCUAACGCAUUAAGCACUCCGCCUGGGGAGUACGGCCGCAAGGCUG